CCCAGUUAUUAUUGGUGGAUGAAGUGAUUCGGGCUGGGCGGAAUAUGAGGAAACCAAAUUAAAACUUGAGAAUUCUCCGGCAUGUACUUUUUGCCUCUGCUUUCUCGAUGUGUAACGAAGUCAAGUGAUGUAACGGAGGAUGGUUGUGUUUUGGAGAUUGUGCUAGGGAGAAUGAUCUUGUGGAGUUUUGUUUAGGAACGAACACUCACCAUGUUAUGUGCUUAUCCGAUUGUCUUUCCAUAUUAACAACCAUUCUUUUGAAGUCGCACAUUGGCUGGCC
rnacentral:misc_RNA from 1 species